rnacentral:tRNA from 1 species
GGGCAUGUAGCGUAGGGGUUAUCGCGUUCGCUUUGCAUGGUGGAUUGGUAAAGAACGUUCUGCGAAAGGUCUCCGGUUCAAAUCCGGACUUGUCCA